UGGUGUAUAGCCAAAUAGGUAAAGGCAAUAGCUUUUGAUGCUAUCAAUUAAAGGUUCGAAUCCUUUUACACCAG
rnacentral:tRNA from 2 species